rnacentral:rRNA from 1 species
CCCUUAGAUGUUCUGGGCCGCACGCGCGCUACACUGUUCGACGCAGCGAGUCUUAACCUUGACCGAAAGGUUUGGGUAAUCUUCAGCAAAGUCGAACGUGAUGGGGAUCGAUCAUUGCAAUUAUUGAUCGUGAACGAGGAAUUCCUAGUAAGUGCAAGUCAUCAACUUGCGCUGAUUACGUCCCUGCCCUUUGUACACACCGCCCGUCGCUACUACCGAUUGAAUGGUUUAGUGAGAUCUCUGGAUUGACGCUGGCUAGGGGGCGACCCUUGGCCAGGCUGUCGAGAAACUGCUCAAACUUGAUCAUUUAGAGGAAGUAAAAGUCGUAACA